rnacentral:rRNA from 1 species
UACAGAGGGGGCGAGCGUUGUUCGGAAUUACUGGGCGUAAAGGGCGCGUAGGCGGCCCGCUAAGUCGAACGUGAAAUCCCCAGGCUCAACCUGGGAACUGCGUCCGAUACUGCGGCGCUUGAGGACUGGAGAGGAGACUGGAAUUCAUGGUGUAGCAGUGAAAUGCGUAGAGAUCAUGAGGAAGACCAGUGGCGAAGGCGGGUCUCUGGACAGUACCUGACGCUGAGGCACGAAAGCCAGGGGAGCAAACGGG